rnacentral:rRNA from 1 species
CCUACGGGUGGCAGCAGUGGGGAAUAUAGCACAAUGGGGGAAACCCUGAUGCAGCAACGCCGCGUGAGUGAAGAAGUAUUUCGGUAUGUAAAGCUCUAUCAGCAGGGAAGAAGAUGACGGUACCUGAGUAAGAAGCCCCGGCUAACUACGUGCCAGCAGCCGCGGGAAUACGUAGGGGGCAAGCGUUAUCCGGAUUUACUGGGUGUAAAGGGAGCGUAGACGGUGGGACAAGUCUGAAGUGAAAGCCCGGGGCUCAACCCCGGGACUGCUUUGGAAACUGCCUGACUGGAGUGCUGGAGAGGCAGGCGGAAUUCCGAGUGUAGCGGUGAAAUGCGUAGAUAUUAGGAAGAACACUCGUGGCGAAGGCGGGUUCCUGGACAUUAACUGACGCUGAGGCACGAAGGCCAGGGGAGCGAAAGGGAUUAGAUACCCUUGUAGUC